rnacentral:tRNA from 5 species
AGUAAAGUCAGCUAAUCUUAAGCUCUUGGGCCCAUACCCCAAACAUGUUGGUUAAAAUCCUUCCUCUACUA